CAGAGGUCCCGAGCGUUGUUCGGAUUCACUGGGCGUAAAGGGUGCGUAGGUGGCAUGGAAAGUUUGAUGUGAAAGCUCAGGGCUUAACCCUGAAAUGGCAUUGAAUACUGCCGUGCUGGAGGUUUGAGGGGGACUGGAAUUCUUGGUGUAGCAGUGAAAUGCGUAGAUAUCAAGAGGAACACCAGUGGCGAAGGCGAGUCCCUGGACAACACCUGACACUGAGGCACGAAAGCUAGGGGAGCAAACAGGAUUAGAUACCCUGGUAGUCCUAGCCCUAAACGGUGCGUGUUUGCUGUAAAAGGAAUCGACCCCUUUUGUGGCGAAGCUAACGCGUUAAACACGCCGCCUGGGGAGUACGGUCGCAAGAUUA
rnacentral:rRNA from 1 species